UGCCCUGUGGUGUAAUCGGUAGCACAAGUGACUCUGGAUCACUUUGUUCUGGUUCGAGUCCAGACGGGGCAG
rfam:Omnitrophica WOR_2 bacterium RIFCSPHIGHO2_01_FTLL_52_10 rifcsphigho2_01_scaffold_56733, whole genome shotgun sequence.